AUGCACCUUGAGUAUCUCAUCCUUGCUGCCUUCCUGAGGCAACCACUGGGCACCACGGGGCAGACCACCAUCACCCAGCAAGGAGGACAAGUCAUGGUGCAGGAGACAGACAUCUUCCAGACCAGAUGCACAUACCAAACCUCUGGCUUUGAUGCCUUGUUCUGGUAUCAGCAGAAGACAUAUCAGGCCCCACAGCAUAUCUCUUAUCAGGCAGUAACUGGCUCCAAGCGCAGCGGCCGUUUCACCACCUUUCUGAACACCACGGGGAAAUACAGCCUCCUGCAGCUGGAGGAUGUUGAGGUCUCUGACAGUGCCUUGUACCUCUGUGCUGUGCAAGACACCCUGGGUUUCCUGGAGGCCUGUCAGCGUACCUGCUCUGGGAUGUGUCCUUCAGAGGUCCGAGUUCAAAGUAAAUUGAAAGCAUAG